GAGGAGUUCACCGACGAGCGGCGUCACUCGCACGCGCGCGUCGAGCGCUACAAGGUCACCGAGCCCGGCUACGAGGCCACCAGCUUCCACUCGCUGAAGCGGACGGUCGUCAAAGAUCAUCAGGUGAUUCGGGCCGCUGACCACCAGGACAAGAGGCUGGCUAUCGAACAAGUCACCAACAACACCCUGAACAACACCAGCAUUGAGGAGUGGAACAGCA